rnacentral:misc_RNA from 1 species
UGCCCUUGACAUACACGGUGCACCGGCAGAGAUGUCGGGUCCUUUUGGGUCGUGUACAGGUGGUGCAUGGCUGUCGUCAGCUCGUGUCGUGAGAUGUUGGGUUAAGUCCCGCAACGAGCGCAACCCUCGUCCUAUGUUGCCAGCACGUGAUGGUGGGGACUCAUAGGAGACUGCCGGGGUCAACUCGGAGGAAGGUGGGGAUGACGUGUAGGAGCUCGAC